GGCCUAACACAUGCAAGUCGAACGGUAACAGGAAGCAGCUUGCUGCUUUGCUGACGAGUGGCGGACGGGUGAGUAAUGUCUGGGAAACUGCCUGAUGGAGGGGGAUAACUACUGGAAACGGUAGCUAAUACCGCAUAACGUCGCAAGACCAAAGAGGGGGACCUUAGGGCCUCUUGCCAUCGGAUGUGCCCAGAUGGGAUUAGCUAGUAGGUGGGGUAACGGCUCACCUAGGCGACGAUCCCUAGCUGGUCUGAGAGGAUGAGCAGCCACACUGGAACUGAGACACGGUCCAGACUCCUACGGGAGGCAGCAGUGGGGAAUAUUGCACAAUGGGCGCAAGCCUGAUGCAGCCAUGCCGCGUGUAUGAAGAAGGCCUUCGGGUUGUAAAGUACUUUCAGCGGGGAGGAAGGGAGUAAAGUUAAUACCUUUGCUCAUUGACGUUACCCGCAGAAGAAGCACCGGCUAACUCCGUGCCAGCAGCCGCGGUAAUACGGAGGGUGCAAGCGUUAAUCGGAAUUACUGGGCGUAAAGCGCACGCAGGCGGUUUGUUAAGUCAGAUGUGAAAUCCCCGGGCUCAACCUGGGAACUGCAUCUGAUACUGGCAAGCUUGAGUCUCGUAGAGGGGGGUAGAAUUCCAGGUGUAGCGGUGAAAUGCGUAGAGAUCUGGAGGAAUACCGGUGGCGAAGGCGGCCCCCUGGACGAAGACUGACGCUCAGGUGCGAAAGCGUGGGGAGCAAACA
rnacentral:rRNA from 1 species